rnacentral:rRNA from 1 species
GACGAACGCUGGCGGCGUGCCUAAUACAUGCAAGUCGAACGCACUCUCGUUUAGCUUGAUGGUCUUUGGUCAGGGGUGGUCGAGAGUUGAACGAGUGGCGGACGUGUCUGUAACACGUGGGUAACCUGGCCUAAAGGGGGGGAUAACCUGUGGAAACUUUUGCCAAUACCGCAUAAAACUUAACGACGGAUUGGCUGGGGUUUAAAGAUGGUUCCGCGUUGCAUUAGCUAGUUGGUAAGGUAACGGCUUACCAAGGCGAGGAUGCAUAGCCGACCUGAGAGGGUAAUCGGCCACACUGGAACUGAGACACGGUCCAGACUCCUACGGGAGGCAGCAGUAGGGAAUCUUCCACAAUGGGCGAAAGUCUGAUGGAGCAACGCCGCGUGAGUGAAGAAGGUUUUCGGAUCGUAAAACUCUGUUGUUGGGGAAGAACGUAUCUGUUAGUAACUGUGCAGAUAGUGACGGUACCCAACCAGAAAGCCACGGCUAACUACGUG